rnacentral:lncRNA from 1 species
GUAAUGUUUGUUGGGGAAAACAGGGAAAAAAAAGAAUGUUUUAUGUCUUUCUUUGUAUUAGAAACUCGCUGCAAAUGCAAAUCAUUAUACAACAAACCUCUUAAACCAAUGAAAUAGAAGUUUGGGCUCUUACGUACCCUUGCUGCUUUGACACAUCCAUUGUCUACAUGCUGUUCUUCUACAAAUAGCUUGUUAAAGUUUUGCAACCUUAAACUGGCAAGAUAAUUGUAAAACAACACACACACACACACACACACAAAAUCCUCCUUUCCAGAACAAGAAGACCCAACUCUAACAACCUCCCCCUAACUUGUUGUAUUAUUACUCCACAGGAAACUGUUGUACUGAAAGGAAGAAUUAACUGGUCUUUCAACUUCAGCCUUUUUAUUGUGAGAGGGAAGAUCACACAAGUGUUACCAUGGGGAGAACUACAGCUAAAGAUUCGAAGGAAAUUAAAAAAGAGAAAGAUGGAAAGAAUCAGCAGGCAAACAACCCGUCUUUAAAAAGUGGUAGGUAUUGCAGCUGUCAGGUUAUUAGUUAAGGUACCCUAAGAGGAAAAGUACAUAUUUGGAAUGUCUGUCUCUUGAGACUGUUUUUUUCCUUCAAUUUCUUUGUCUAUAACUGAUGUCUAGUUAAAAACAUACAAUUGCUUUUGCCUCACUGUUGGCAAAGUAUGUUUUGGUGUAGCAAAUGACUGUUGAAACUGCUUGGCUUGAAUCUGACAGUUCUAUUAGCUCAGACAAGUACUCAUGAUAUAUGUAAUCAAAAACUAUGUAAAUAUAAACACUUUUUAAAGAUCACUUACUGAUUUCCUUGUUCUUCUGAUGAUGUAUGUUCCUGUUGAAUGCCUCUUUUGCCUCAGUUAUCUCUUUCAUUAAUGCUUGCUGUUGUCAAAAAAAGUUGAAUUUCAGUUUAACAGUUUGAAAUCUUAAUAUUGCUAACUAGAUUAAGUUGCCUCAGUUUCUAGUUUUACUUAAAAUAAAUUCUGUUUUCAAAUCAAUAGUUUAUUGAUAAUGAACUGAAGAAAACUACACAGUUGUCAAAAAGAAGCCAACUUCUUGUAAACUUAUACAACCUCUGUUGUCCGCAGUAGGUGCCAUAGGGUGACACAUACGUCGGGCUGUUGGGAAAUAUGUGGAACUGUUGGCAAUUUCACUUUUGUGAAAUGCAGUAGGAGAGAAGCAGCAUCCUUAUAUGCUCUUCAUACAUUUGCAUUGGUCGAGUUUGAGGCAGCGAGAAAUGUUGUGAGUACUGUUGACUGAAGUAGAGUAUCUCUUUAGGAGUCCUAAGUUGUUAGGAAAAUAUCACUGGGUUACUUAAAGUCUCACUCUUCUUACAUUCCCAUACCAUCUCACUCCUAGUGGACGGUCUGGUUCAGAGGUUUUACUUCAUGCCACCUGAGAAAUUGUGUUAUUGACUAUGUCAAGGACUAUAUCUUUGAACAUAGUGAGAGACUAACAACAUAACUGGGUAGUUGAGGCGAUGUCUUUGCAUAAAGAUGUGAUAUCC